AUGACAACUACCCCAAGUUCAGCCACAGAGCCCUGCCUGCGCAAAACAGACUUCAUGCAGUCCCACAACCUGCCAGAAGAGGGAGACAUACACAACCUCAGAGCAGAAAUCCCUUCCCCAAUGAGGAAUGUGUGAAAAUCUCACCUUUUGAAGAUGCCCAGGUGUAGGAUGUGUAUGACAGAGAGGUAGCAUCGCCUGUCGUCACCAUCAUCAUAGUACCACUUCACACUCAGCAGCUGAACCGCUGUCCCCGGAAGGAAGAGCCCGAGUGUGAGGCCUGCCCACUGCGUCUCCUCGUUCCACAGGUGACCCCUGGAGGUCCCACAUCCACCCUGGGUCCACCUGGAGUCAGCAGCAUCCGGCUCUCCCUGUACCACAGCAUCCUCUGAUGAUGCUGACAGAGCUCCAUCACUGACAAACGCUGCUUCCCCUCCAAUCAAUAAACAACAUAUAUUUUUAAAGAAAAAGGCUAUUUAAAUCUAAAUUUCUUCUUAGAUUACCAGCAGUUUAGCAUCUAUCCCCACUUACGCGCGCU